rnacentral:rRNA from 1 species
AACGAACGCUGGCGGCAUGCCUAACACAUGCAAGUCGAACGAGACCUUCGGGUCUAGUGGCGCACGGGUGCGUAACGCGUGGGAACCUGCCCUUAGGUUCGGAAUAACUCCCCGAAAGGGGUGCUAAUCCCGGAUAAUGUCUUCGGACCAAAGAUUUAUCGCCUUUGGAUGGGCCCGCGUUGGAUUAGCUAGUUGGUAGGGUAAAAGCCUACCAAGGCGACGAUCCAUAGCUGGUCUGAGAGGAUGAUCAGCCACACUGGGACUGAGACACGGCCCAGACUCCUACGGGAGGCAGCAGUGGGGAAUAUUGGACAAUGGGCGAAAGCCUGAUCCAGCAAUGCCGCGUGAGUGAUGAAGGCCUUAGGGUUGUAAAGCUCUUUUACCCGGGAUGAUAAUGACAGUACCGGGAGAAUAAGCGCCGGCUAACUCCGUG